rnacentral:rRNA from 1 species
UGGGAGUCAGAACAUGGGUGAUAAGGUCCGUGUUCGAAAGGGAAACAGCCCAGACCACCAGCUAAGGUCCCAAAAUAUAUGUUAAGUGGAAAAGGAUGUGGCGUUGCCCAGACAACUAGGAUGUUGGCUUAGAAGCAGCCAUCAUUUAAAGAGUGCGUAAUAGCUCACUAGUCGAGUGACACUGCGCCGAAAAUGUACCGGGGCUAAACAUAUUACCGAAGCUGUGGAUUGUCCUUUGGACAAUGGUAGGAGAGCGUUCUAAGGGCGUUGAAGCAUGAUCGUAAGGACAUGUGGAGCGCUUAGAAGUGAGAAUGCCGGUGUGAGUAGCGAAAGACGGGUGAGAAUCCCGUCCACCGAUUGACUAAGGUUUCCAGAGGAAGGCUCGUCCGCUCUGGGUUAGUCGGGUCCUAAGCUGAGGCCGACAGGCGUAGGCGAUGGAUAACAGGUUGAUAUUCCUGUACCACCUAUAAUCGUUUUA